GAUGUAGUAGCCACUGGGCAUGUCCGUCCGUUCCGUUGCGCCGUUUCCACUGAUGAAAGAGGAGCAGAUGCGACACAAGUACUAUACGCGCGCACGAUCUGUGACGUCAUGGUUUCCUUAGCAACCAUGGCUGAAACAACGGAGGACGGUGAAAUCAACAGGGAUGAAAAACAAGUUGUUGGACUUGUUGAAGACUUGAAACGCUCAAAUGCAGUGCUACAAGCAGAGAUCGACAUGUUUGAGCGAUAUAUUACUGGGCUGGACCUGCAGCCUCAAUCGGAGAAUUAUGAAACAUCAUCACAGAUGGAAAUAGCAACGAGUCCAGGAAGGAAAACUAAAGCAAAACAACAGCUCCUGACACUGGAACAGAAAUGUGAUGUCGCCAAAAGCAUGCAUAAACAGAUGACUGAGGAUCUGAAGAGAGCAAAAGACCUUUCAGAAAGAGAGCUGGACAAUUACAAGGCAACUCUGGAAGAAGCUGAUAUCCACUUGGCGGAGGUUAAAAAAGAAUGUUGCCAGUUUGAUCGUGACAUUGGUAAAGCACUGCGGGAUAAAAAGAGUGUGACGAUGAGUGCUGAGAAGGUCAUCAGAUACAUUGAGGACAAAGUAAAGGCCAAGGAGAGCUUGAUUGAGAAGUUGCAUCAGAAGAAUGCAGCACUCCUCGCAUACAAGAAAAAACUACAAAUCCAAUUGAAACAACAAGAGGAGAUGGGUGAAGGCCUGACAGCUUUGGACUUUGAGCAGCUCAAGUUUGGGAACAUGAAAUGUAGGAAGCUUCUGGAUGAGCAAAACCUCAGACGUGUGGAACUCAAAUUACUCACAGGGAAGACCCUGCAUGUCUUGAAUUCCAAUAAGGAGAAGCUUCAGACCUUGACACAUGAGUCAGACAUGCUGAGCAGUGACACAGCUUUACGGGCGAAAUUACUGAUGAAGUUUGAGGAGGAGACCAAGCAAGCAGAGGAGGUCAGGAUAAUGAAAUUCCUUAUAUGCACUUCAGAACCCAACGUCAUGUGGUACUCCACUGGCCGAAAGCCAUACAUUUUAUUUCCUGACAGGAACGAAACAAAGCAGAGGUUCUGAACAGGAAGUUGAGGGCCCAGUUGACCGAUUUUCACGUACCACAUGUACUACAAUACAUCAAAGUUAAGGAGUCUCAUGUUCAGCUGAAGAAGAGUGUUAAAGAAUGGGAACGCAAGGUGGAAAUUGCAGAGAUGGCACUAAAAACAUACUCAAAAUCCUGGGACAAGCUUCGGAUCACUGCUGGAGCCAGAACAGUUCCUACACGAUAUGCAGCCGUAGAUGCUGGAUUGUAUGGAUUCUGAAACAACAAAAACUAAACACGUCCUAAAUAAUCUCAAUACCCAAGAUGAGGUCAAAGUAAACCACAUAUUUUAAAACAAAUGCAUCAAUAUGCAGAAAAAUAAAAUGAACAUAAAAAUG